AUUGAACGCUGGCGGCAUGCCUUACACAUGCAAGUCGAACGGUAACAGGUCUUCGGAUGCUGACGAGUGGCGAACGGGUGAGUAAUACAUCGGAACGUGCCCGAUCGUGGGGGAUAACGAGGCGAAAGCUUUGCUAAUACCGCAUACGAUCUACGGAUGAAAGCGGGGGAUCUUCGGACCUCGCGCGGACGGAGCGGCCGAUGGCAGAUUAGGUAGUUGGUGGGAUAAAAGCUUACCAAGCCGACGAUCUGUAGCUGGUCUGAGAGGAUGAUCAGCCACACUGGGACUGAGACACGGCCCAGACUCCUACGGGAGGCAGCAGUGGGGAAUUUUGGACAAUGGGCGAAAGCCUGAUCCAGCCAUGCCGCGUGCAGGAUGAAGGCCUUUGGGUUGUAAACUGCUUUUGUACGGAACGAAAAGCCUCUUUCUAAUAAAGAGGGGUCAUGACGGUACCGUAAGAAUAAGCACCGGCCAACUACGUG
rnacentral:rRNA from 1 species